rnacentral:tRNA from 1 species
GCUCCCUUAGCUCAGCCGGCAGAGCGUCUCCAUGGUAAGGAGAAGGUCGUCAGUUCGAUUCUGACAGGGAGC